UACGGAGGGGGCUAGCGUUGUUCGGAAUUACUGGGCGUAAAGCGCACGUAGGCGGCUUUGCAAGUUAGAGGUGAAAGCCCGGAGCUUAACUCCGGAAUUGCCUUUAAAACUGCAUCGCUAGAAUUGUGGAGAGGUGAGUGGAAUUCCGAGUGUAGAGGUGAAAUUCGUAGAUAUUCGGAAGAACACCAGUGGCGAAGGCGACUCACUGGACACAUAUUGACGCUGAGGAGCGAGAGCCAGGGGAGCAAACGGG
rnacentral:rRNA from 1 species